CAAAAUGAUUUGUUAAGAUUUAGAUAGUGGAAAACGUUUUCUCGCAAAAUGGAAUCUCAUAGAAAAAAUACAGUUUUCUCCAAUAUGCUCGGAAAUGUUCACCUUAUUAUACCAAAAAUAGUAAAGGAAGUUCUUCGUUAUGGUCAAACAAAAAAAAAAAUAUUUAGAAAAAAAAAACGACUUCAAUGACCGGUGAAAGAUAGAUUAUUGUUGAUUUUGGAUUUCAUACAAUGAAAUUAAAAAGACUGCUAUAAUACCCGCAAUAGAGUAUUCGACUUUAUUUAAAAUAAAUUAUUUCACACCAUGAAAUAAUAUUAAAAAUGGCUAUAAGUUUGCUUAAAAGAGUUGAGAAGUACCCUCAAUUCCUCAUGGAAUCCAUCAUCAAAACUCAAGCUUGACAAAAAUGUACCUUGAAAACCUAACUGUUUCACAAACAUGUGAAGAGAACAAAUUCCCAAACGUGAACUAUGCGUCGUUGAAGAGUUACAUUCGGAUCACCAUCAGCAGUUCUACUUCAUCGUAUGUUACUUUUUAAAUGUAAAUGCUUGAUUUGUUGAUGAAAAUACAAAAAUCACUAUAUGUAUGCUCUUCACAUUUGACGAGUUCCCUCGAUUGCUCAUGAUCAGAUCCAUCAUCUGAACUGAGUUUUGACAAAAACGGGACCAAUCUGUAUAUAUAUAUUCAAGCAAAAAAAUAACAUUAAAAAAAAAACAUACGCACCGAAUUGAUAACCUCCUCCUUUUGAAAUCUUGAUUAAAAAAUUCAAAUCAUUAUUGUUGUGUUUUAGCGGACGGGAAGUUAUUACUGUAUUGUGUUUUACUUUUAAAAACAUGUAUCCACUAAGAAAAACGCAAACAGCCAAUUAAUAUAGGCGCGGGCUGCGUCUACACGACCCGGUCAGCAUCAUUUCAAGCUAUAUGAUAGAGUCGUGUAUGAUCGUGCGAAUACUGCUUAAUAAAAUCAAAGAUUAUAAAACUUUUAUAUAUAGUUGGUCAAGCAAAUCUUGUCAGUAGAAAAACGCGGCAAAUUUGAAAAAUCGCGGGCUAGCAACACUGUGUUCGAAUAAUUCCAAAAUCGCAUGUAAUCUGUGUUUUAUCUGUGGAAUGUGGAUCGUCCAUCUUGUUUGUUUACAUUCCGAAUCGGUGCUAAUUCAAGAGAAAUUUCUGCUCCUAGCAUUAAAAUAAAUAUCAAUAUAUUAAAUAAUAUUGUGCAUGACCAUAAGCAAAGUCAAGAUGCCUACAAUGGUUAAAAGGCUUAAAUAAAGAUAAAACGUAUGCCUAAAUAUAUCCAAUAAGACCACGAAUUGUGCCCUCGAAACCGCAACUGAUUCGAUUGUUCCCAAUAUCAACAGACGAAGUCCUCAAAUAUUUUCAAAGGAUUAAAACUCGCCCAAUAUAAGGCGUUCGUAAAAGUUUCUCUUCAUACAAAACUUACCUACGGCGGUUUACGUACAUACGUGUACAACGCAAACAACACGAAAAAUAAACUUGUUAAUUAAAAAAAUUAAAGAAAUUGGGACAAUAGUUUAGAUUAUUACU